UACGUAGGGAGCUAGCGUUACUCGGAAUCAUUGGGCGUAAAGCGUGCGAAGGCGGUUUUUCAAGUCAGAAGUGAAAGCCUGAGGCUCAACCUCAGAAUUGCUUUUGAAACUGUUGAACUAGAGUAUCAGAGGGGAUAGCGGAAUUCCUAGUGUAGAAGUGAAAUUCGUAGAUAUUAGGAGGAACACCGGUGGCGAAGGCGGCUAUCUGGCUGAAUACUGACGCUGUUGCACGAAAGCGUGGGGAGCAAACAGG
rnacentral:rRNA from 1 species